CUUGAAAAAUUUAGUUGUCCUUUUUGGGUUUUGAUUUGGGGUUUAAUCUUGGAAAUUUUAUUUUAUCUUUUUUUUUUUUUCAUGAACAAUUGGGGUUUCCACUUCUGUUCUUGAUUGAAUGGAAUAAUAUGGAGCUUUGAAUUGUCUGAAAUAGGGGAAGAAAAUUGGAAUUUGAGUUUUGAGGCAACAGCCAUUUCUUUCGAUGGAAUUGGGAUUAAGAAGCAAGGAGGACAGUUUCUCUACUUUUUUCCAAUAGAAGGCUCUUCAGUGUAGUAGUUUUUGCAAGGAUUUUGCCUUGUAUUGAUAGUGAAAAUUAAGCGUUUGCUUGGUCAAGGUCAACUUUUUUUUUCUUUUGUGCUGGUGUGCUUGUAUAGUUAGUAAAUAUGGAAAAGGAGAUGGUACAUGUAGAAGGGACCAAUAAGUGUGUGGGUGAUGACGUUAACCCUGAAGACUCCUUUUGUCCUGAAAUGGAAAUUGAAGAGAAUGGGAGUCCUAAGAAUGAAAUUCAACGGUUGACUUCAGAAAAAGGUGAGGGAAGUAAUGUGGU
rnacentral:misc_RNA from 1 species